rnacentral:rRNA from 1 species
GACGAACCGUGCAAACGUUGUUCGGAAUCACUGGGCUUAAAGGGCGCGUAGGCGGCUCGCCAAGUCGGGGGUGAAAUCUUUCGGCUCAACCGGAAAAGUGCCUUCGAUACUGGCGGGCUGGAGGGAGGUAGGGGCAUGUGGAACUUCCGGUGGAGCGGUGAAAUGCGUUGAUAUCAUCAGGAACACCGGAGGCGAAGGCGGCCCACUGGGUCUUUUCUGACGCUGAGGGACGAAAGCUAGGGGAGCGAACGGG